GGAUAUGAUGACAACCUUUUGACACCCAGUCUUACUUGCUCCAUUGGGGUACUAUGGUGAGAGUUUAAUUGUCUGAUCC
rfam:Glycine max cultivar Williams 82 chromosome 8, whole genome shotgun sequence.